rnacentral:rRNA from 1 species
GACGUAGGGCGCGAGCGUUGUCCGGAUUUAUUGGGCGUAAAGAGCGUGCAGGCGGCCUGACAAGUCUGCUGUGAAAACUCGAGGCUCAACCUCGAGAUGUCGGCGGAAACUGUCUGGCUAGAGUCCGGAAGAGGAGAGUGGAAUUCCUGGUGUAGCGGUGAAAUGCGCAGAUAUCAGGAAGAACACCUAUGGCGAAGGCAGCUCUCUGGGACGGUACUGACGCUGAGACGCGAAAGCGUGGGGAGCGAACAGG